rnacentral:rRNA from 1 species
GCCAGACUCCUACGGGAGGCAGCAGUGGGGGAUAUUGCACAAUGGGGGAAACCCUGAUGCAGCGACGCCGCGUGUGGGAAGACGGUCCUCUGGAUUGUAAACCACUGUCCCCAGGGACGAAGAUGACGGUACCUGGGGAGGAAGCUCCGGCUAACUACGUGCCAGCAGCCGCGGUAAUACGUAGGGGGCAAGCGUUAUCCGGAUUUACUGGGUGGAAAGGGGGCGCAGACGGCAGCGCAAGCCAGGAGUGAAAGCCCGGGGCCCAACCCCGGGACUGCUCUUGGAACUGCGCGGCUGGAGUGCAGGAGGGGCAGGCGGAAUUCCUGGUGUAGCGGUGAAAUGCGUAGAUAUCAGGAGGAACACCGGUGGCGAAGGCGGCCUGCUGGACUGCGACUGACGUUGAGGCCCGAAAGCGUGGGGAGCAAACAGGAUUAGAUACCCGCGUAA